UUUGUUGUAGUCUAGAUGGUUAGGAUACUCGGUUCUCACCUAAGAGACCCGGGUUCAGUUCCUGCACUAAAA
rnacentral:tRNA from 1 species